AUUGAACGCUGGCGGCAGGCCUAACACAUGCAAGUCGGACGGUAGCACAGAGGGGCUUGCUCCUCGGGUGACGAGUGGCGUACGGGUGAGUAAUGUCUGGGGAUCUGCCCGAUAGAGGGGGAUAACCACUGGAAACGGUGGCUAAUACCGCAUAACGUCGCAAGACCAAAGAGGGGGACCUUCGGGCCUCUCACUAUCGGAUGAACCCAGAUGGGAUUAGCUAGUAGGCGGGGUAACGGCCCACCUAGGCGACGAUCCCUAGCUGGUCUGAGAGGAUGACCAGCCACACUGGAACUGAGACACGGUCCAGACUCCUACGGGAGGCAGCAGUGGGGAAUAUUGCACAAUGGGCGCAAGCCUGAUGCAGCCAUGCCGCGUGUAUGAAGAAGGCCUUCGGGCUGUAAAGUACUUUCAGCGGGGAGGAAGGCGAUGUGGUUAAUAACCGCAUUGAUUGACGUUACCCGCAGAAGAAGCACCGGCUAACUCCGUGCCAGCCGCCGCCGUAA
rnacentral:rRNA from 1 species